rnacentral:rRNA from 1 species
GAUCAUGGCUCAGGAUGAACGCUGGCGGCGUGCUUAACACAUGCAAGUCGAACGGAGUGCUCAUGACAGAGGAUUCGUCCAAUGGAUUGAGUUACUUAGUGGCGGACGGGUGAGUAACGCGUGAGUAACCUGCCUUGGAGUGGGGAAUAACACAACGAAAGCUGUGCUAAUACCGCAUAAUGCAGCUGAGUCGCAUGGCUCUGGCUGCCAAAGAUUUAUCG